CCUACGGGUGGCUGCAGUGGGGAAUUUUGGACAAUGGGCGCAAGCCUGAUCCAGCAAUGCCGCGUGCAGGAUGAAGGCCUUCGGGUUGUAAACUGCUUUUGUACGGAACGAAACGGUCUGCCCUAAUACGGUGGGCUAAUGACGGUACCGUAAGAAUAAGCACCGGCUAACUACGUGCCAGCAGCCGCGGUAAUACGUAGGGUGCGAGCGUUAAUCGGGAGUACUGGGCCGGUAGCAUGAGCAGGAGGUGAAAUCCCCGGGCUUAACCUGGGACCUGCAUUUGUGACUGUAUAGCUAGAGUACGGCAGAGGGGGAUGGAAUUCCGCGUGUAGCAGUGAAAUGCGUAGAUAUGAGGAGGAACACCGAUGGCGAAGGCAAUCCCCUGGGCCUGUACUGACGCUCAUGAACGAAAGCGUGGGGAGCAAACAGGAUUAGAUACCCCAGUAGUC
rnacentral:rRNA from 1 species